UACAGAGGCCUCGAGCGUUGUUCGGAAUUACUGGGCGUAAAGGGAAUGUAGGUGGUCGGGUAAGUCAGAUGUGAAAGCCCUGGGCUUAACCUGGGAAGUGCAUUUGAUACUGCUCGGCUUGAGUGCGAGAGAGGAAAGCGGAAUUCCUGGUGUAGGAGUGAAAUUCGUAGAUAUCAGGAGGAAUACCGAUGGCGAAGGCAGCUUUCUGGCUCGUAACUGACACUGAGGCGCGAAAGCGUGGGGAGCGAACAGG
rnacentral:rRNA from 1 species